GUCUCCCUAUGUUUCCCAGGCUGGCCUCGAACUCCUGACCUCAAGUGAUCCUCCCACCUCAGCCUCCCAGAGUGCUGGGAUUAAAGACGUGAGCCACGGCACCUGGCCUGAAUUUUCCUCAAAUUCAAAAAAUGCUGAUGAAGGUUUGGCUAAAAUCUUUGGUGAGUUACCCCACUCCCUGUGGAACCUCAGGCUGGAUUUGAAGAGUUGCGUGCAUGGUCCUCAUUGUCUCCCAGGUAACCUGUUCCCGCUGCUGUGAAGGGAAGGCAGGUGCUCUUCCUUGAGGCUAGAAUCUGUCUACGUGUCACAGUCUCAGGAAAUUAAGCAAAACAGAUGAUAAACACCUCAAAAGGACCCUACUGAGCAUGAGUGGAGCAGACCAGGGCCAUAUGGGACUGCGGCGUCAGAUGCCACCUCACACUAGCUGUGACACACCUGCCUCGCCAGUUUCUGCUCUGAGGCCCCAAAGCCAAGCUGAACCUCCUCCAGGGGUUCUCAGCCCUAACUGAGCAUGAGAACCCCUGGGGCAAUCCUCUUUUUAACAAUUGAGACAUUCCACACACACCCCACAUCAGAUUUUGGGGUGUGGGGAUAGACCUUCACAUUUGUAGUUUUCUAACCCUCCAGGGGACACUAGGCUGAGACUCAUUGGUCUCCACUCUGAACCUUCCAUUGAACAUGUGAGAAAAACUAAGGCCCAGGGAAGUCUUUAGCAGAGAGCUGAGACGGAGAAAAGGGUUCUGAACCACAGCUGUCUGCUGAAGGAAGCUGUCCAAAGGCCAGUGAAGUCUCUCCUGAGGGUGCCUGGGCUGUGCAUCAGGAGUGAAGGUUGAGGGUCACCUUAGGUGUGAGAAGGAGCAACUGGGAGAGUGGCGCUGAUGCUUCCCCCCGGGUUAGGAGGCAUUUGGAUCACAGAGCGAUGCCUGUUCAUUCCUGCUUGCAAGGGAGCAGAUCUCUCGACACCCGAUGGGCCUCUAUUCCGUUCCGGCAGCUGUCGGUGUCAGGAGCGCUGGGCUUGCUCCUCCCCACGGGAGCCAUCACAGAGGCCUCGGGCAGUCUGCAUAGACAACUGCCUGGCAGGUGACCAGGAGGGGAUGCAUGAGUAGAUGCAGGUAGCACUCGCAGUCCCCCUAGCUGUGCCCUCAGCACCUGCUGUCUAGGAGGCAGAAGCCUUGUUCUCGGCCUUGCAGGUGACCCCAGUGUCUCUGAAUUCGGCCCCAUAUGUGUAGGAGGGGAGUGAUUGCAUCUGAAGAUGGGAGUCCGGUUGGGGGUUUGGGAAGCUCCCAUCACCCCUCAAGAGUCCACUGACCAGCCCAGCUCACACCAGGUGGGCCUUGGCAUUGGAGGCCACGGCUCAACUCUGCAGUUCCCUCUGGGCAGCAUUUCCAGGGACUCGUAGGUCAGCACGGUCAUCAAGGACGGGUGGUGAGAGCAGCUCCUCAUUGUCCUGGUGACCCCGAUGGUUCAUUUUCUGGUGUCUCUGUGGUGAGCUCCUGUUACAUCAAGCGAGUGGAAACCACCGAGGACCAACAGCCCUGGAAAUGCACUGAGAAUGCAGGAUGAGUGGGGUUUGUGAGGACUGUUUUCUGUGACUUAGCAAGGAAAGCCUGGAAGGGAAAGUAAAACUGCUUCUUCCCAGGGAAGCCAGAAACCUAAGAACUUAAAAGGGAAGGAGAACUUAAUAUAUUUCAAAAAUGUAACCCUUGUGAAUUAGCAACAGCUUUAUAAACAAAGAGAUUUCCGAGCUUAUAGAAUCUAUUCUGCUUUGUUUCUGCCCCCAUGGCUCCUACCCCUGUUUUUGUGGGUGCAAUUUUCAGAUAGAACAUUUUUACACAAGCUUCAAAACUCUCUGAGGACAGCUUUCCCCUUUGCGUCUGUCGGGUCCCAGGCAGUCACAUCCCAGGAAGUGCUGGGGUUGGGCUCCUUGCUCCACAUCCUUCUUCAGUGGCACGAAGCGUGGGGUGGAGUGUGUGAGUCAUGUGUGAUCUUGGUGUGGGCUAUGGCUGGUCUGCAGCACCCCUUCAAUGACUGCUUCAAGGGCUUUUCAUGAUGCUUGUAGCUCAUGAGCUAGUGUUUCCUAGACGCUGUUUCCAGGUGUCUUGCAUGUCACACACUGGCCUACCAGGGCUGGAGUGAGAUCAUGAGCGCCAGAUUGUUGGUGAAGGAAGUUGACAGAGACAUCGAAUGUCGGUGAACAGGAGUGACCUUGGGUCUCAAUAAAUACUGUGGUCUACUGAAUCCAGAACCCACCCUUACCAGCAGGGCCCACUUCUUCCCCAGCAGGCCGAGCUCUUCCCCUCCUGUCUUCCCUGGCCCUUGCUUUGUAGCUCUGUGUGGCUGUGUCAUGUCUGGUUGUAUCUGUGUAUACUUCUGCCUCUCCCGCUAUCUAGAUGGCUCGGGGAGGCACACCACACACCAGGUCACCUUCCUCUCUGAACCCCCAGCACCUCAUACUGUUUCUGUGCAGAGAUAAGGCUGGGUGAAAGCUUGUGUGAAUGAUCUGAAGUCUUCUACUCUAGGCCAGUCUCCAGGAGCAUUAUGAUCUUUAGGAGGGUGGGCUUGGUUCCUCUGUACAAUAAUGGGUCAUAAAACUGAGUGGUCAAGAUCAUCCCGGUGAGGGCAGUCCGUGUGUUGCCAUAGUUGCUGUACCGGUUAAGAAUGCACCUGGCUGCAAUUUCCUGAAAACCUGACGUAUAGUGGCUUAAACAAAGAGUGGUUUAUUUUCCUUCUGUCAUAGCAAUCUGGGGGAGGCCACUGUGGCUUUGGCGCAGGAGGUCGGGAAAGGCCCGCUUCUCUGAUAUCACUGGGGGCCUCCCCAGUGCUUGUGUGGCAGAAUGACAAGAGGAAGAAGAAGGAGAAUUAUGGCACUGAGUAUCAUGAGAUUUGGGGUCAUAUAUCUUUAGUGGGCGGUGUUUGCUGCCCCAAAUGUCUCAUGCCAUUAAAAUGUUCUGGAAAUGAUUUAGGUAGUUGGAGUUUCCUUCCCAAAGACAAGGCAUUUACAGCAUGAUGUCCAAUAUCCAUUGAGUUUGUGUCAUGCAUUCAUUGUAUUCAUAGUCUGCUUUAGGUACUUAGCAAAAUAUUGCUGAUAUUAACAUGCCUUUGUUUGCUUCACUGGAGAUGAAAUUGUGCUCCAAGUGUUUUCCAAGGUUCCGUAUGACCCAUCAUUUGAUGAAACAAGAACAGCAGUCAGAUCCAUUACAAAGAGAGACACACAAAAAAGCAAGUAUAUGUCGUUAACCUAACAUGUGUACAUACCUCUACAGACCUCUGUGUUAUGUCAAAUAUGCGAUGCUAGCAUUUUAGCAUUCCUUAAAUCAACUACUGUGGUGGAGGGGGUGCAAAGCCAAACAGAUGUGAAGAACUCUCUGAAAUCCCCUCUACAGUCUUCCUCCCAAUAUGGGAGUCUAUAGGCUUCAGUGUGAAUAUCCCUGUAUUUUGGGGUGAUCCCUGACGUGCAGUGUCAGGCAUGUUCUGCCACUCUGGAGGCUAUGCAGAGGACAGAAACCCGGUUUGCAAGUGGGGUUCACUGUUCCUUGUAACAGGAGCUGUGAGAAGUGUAAUCACUUUCUGUUCACCAGCGCUUUAUAGGUCACUGCCCAGGAGUGCCCAAGUCACCGGCUUGGGAGAGUAAUGUCUUCCUGCGUCCUUCCCUGUCACCUCUGCCAUCAUUCCACCUCAUCCUCUGUAAAAUAUUUGCCCAGAGAAGCAGAGCUGAUUUCUCUUCCAGCACUGAUGCUCCAGUGCCAAUGCUGAGAGGAAGCAGCUGGCCACAUAUGCAAAAAUAAUGCAUAUUAACCCCAAAUCACAUGAAGAAAAGAGAAACCUUGUAAGGUGGACAUCAUGUGAAUUAGGAAGAAAAGUAACAAUGAGUAAUUAGUUAUCAGAAUAAGCCAUCUAUGUGUGCCAGGAAUUUUAAGACUCUCAGUAAAGCAAUUUAGUAACUAAUCACUCUGCCAAUGCAUUCCAUAAGCCAUUGAGAAAAGAUAUGAAUAUUUCACUGCAUAAUCUCAAUAGCUUGCCCUGCACCAUGUUUUAUGAUGCUCCCUUGGCAGAUACAUUUUGAGGAACACGUUUUUAGCAAAGUGCUUGCAUGAUUAAGUAUGUCUAUUCUUAAUGAUUUAUCAGUGUCUUAUUAACAGAGAACUGUGCAUUGUCAUUUAUUGGAUCAAAGUGGUUGUACUUGAAAUCAUUUGCCAUACACCAUGUAGGCCUUUCUACCCAUUUUCCUGUAGCAUUAAACCUGCCAUGUGCACAAAUCUCUCAAUGCUUAUGCAUAUUGUCUGUCAACAGACUAUGUGAAAAUGAGCUUAGCCCCUGGUGUUGUGUUGGAACUUCAGAUGCUUGCAGACACUUCAUGAAUGCUCUGUGACACUCAGAAUAGGCUCUUCCCAACAAAAGAGCUUGAACAAUGCUGCAUUUGCCUCAGGUUCAAAUGAGCGAGAGGAACAUUUGGCUAAAAUAUUUGGAACCAGCGUUGCUUGGAAUUCUCCUAAACCAGAAUAUUUCCUUGGCAGUGUGGACAAAAUUCCUGAUAAAGAUCACCUUUCAGAGGAGAAGAAUUUUAAAGAAUCCUGUCUGUUCCACAGGGAUUUAAGAGAGCAGUUAACUACUGUAGAUAAAGAAACACUUCAAGGAGCAGCUAAACCAGAUGCUCACUUUAGGACUAUGCCCUGCGGGCAGCUUCUGCACUUCCUGCAGAAAAACACCAUCAUCGCCACCGUCUCAGGGGUGGCCAUCCUCAUGGCCAUCGUGCUGUUGCUGCUUGGGUUGGCCUCAUACAUCAGGAAGAAACAGCCAUCGUGAGUGGUGCUGGCAUAACCUUCCUUCCAAGAACCCGCGGGUGUUAGAACUCACGCUGCCCUCAGGGCUUCCUGCUGGUCUGGUUUAUGAGGAGGGCAGAAGCUGCAAGCCUGGUUGUGCUUCAGCAUCCCCUGGCCUGCUCUGUCAAAGCACACAGGACCUGGGCCAUGGGUUUUAGGCACAGCCUGGGUGAUUCUGAUGCACACCCGGGUUUGGGGAUCCCUGGGUGGGCCAGGGUUGCCUCUCAAGGCCACUACGGUUAGGCCAGACCUGUCCCCAUAUUGAGGGCUCUGGCUGAAAGAUUGGUAAAUAGGAAUAUGGAUUUACAAAAGAAAGGAAAAAUACAAAUCUAAUAGGGUGAGGAGGGCUGAAGCCACGAAGGAGAGUGAGAGCAGGGCUGAUAUUCAGCUCCUUCACAUUGGCACAGCUGCCCUGCUUGUUAGAACACUGAAAGCCUUCCCUGAGCUUCCCACUGACCUCCUGAUCUUCUCCGUGAUCCUGCAAAUGAAGGAUUAGUGCCUGGCACAGCCGUGGCCCUCCAAGGCUCUGCUUCAGUGGUGGUCAUUUUGACUGGUCAGUGCCUGUCUACACCAGUUGUUAAAUAUUUUGGUUAGGCCUCUAGAUGAGGGGGCUCAGGCACAGAGGCACUCACCAUGAGCAGGCGCUAGGAAGCAAAUGGUUUGCACGAUGACAUGUAUGCAUAGCUGCAUUUUGAAAUUACGUGCUUCUUGCUGCGUCCCCAGGGACAUGUAUUCUUGACCGCAGAAGGAAGAGCAGCUCCCCACAUCCCCUCAGUCCUGCCUGACACUGCACUGAAUGCUCAGCUUGC
rnacentral:lncRNA from 1 species